rnacentral:rRNA from 1 species
UACGAAGGGGGCUAGCGUUGCUCGGAAUCACUGGGCGUAAAGGGUGCGUAGGCGGGUCUUUAAGUCAGGGGUGAAAUCCUGGAGCUCAACUCCAGAACUGCCUUUGAUACUGAAGAUCUUGAGUUCGGGAGAGGUGAGUGGAACUGCGAGUGUAGAGGUGAAAUUCGUAGAUAUUCGCAAGAACACCGGUGGCGAAGGCGGCUAACUGGUCCGGUACUGACGCUGAGGUGCGAAAGCGUGGGGAGCAAACAGG